AAAUCCAAAAAUAAAAAUAGAGGUUUAAAAUCUUCACAUAGUUCUAAGUGAAUGAACGUUUACUUCGUCAAAUUUAAAGUGUGUAAAGUGUAAAGUGUAAAGUGAACAAAACUUUAACUUUGAAAUCUAAUAAAAGGUGAUACACAGUGGUUUCAUCGCAAAACAACUUAUCCAAGUGAAUCUGCCAUGCUUGGCACAAAUGAUUUGAAUACGUUCAGUUUACGUCAAAGUAGCUUAUCUUGAUAAUCAUGAUUGAAAUCAGGACUCUGUGCACAAUGAUAUCGUUGUACGCCCAGAAAAGGUCGGAAUCUAUAUUUCCGUCAACUACGGUCAAGAAGACAGAAAAUUCAACUAAUGAGGAGAAUGGGUUGUUUCAAGCAAUUCGACAGGAAGUUGACGGAAGUGUUUCUGAGUAUAUUUUGAAAAAUGGGACGAAUGAAAUCAACUCAGAAAAUGUAGCAGGUUGGACUCCACUGCACGUUGCAGUGAAUUUAAACAAACCAGAAGUAGUUGAAGUUCUCCUCAAACAUGGAGCUCUAGUCAACAAAGUUAACAGGUUUAAAAACUCCCCUCUACAUCUAGCAGUGAAGAAGAAUGUCUCCAAGGACUCUAGGAUGCUUGACUCUAACCUCAAUGUUAUCCAGCUCCUUCUCGAGGCUGGGGCGGACAGGACGGCCAAGGAUGGGACGACGAGGCUCACGGUCCCUGAGUUGGUCAGGUUCUGGGACAGGGAGGAGCUGUUCUCCUGGUUCGGAAUAAAUCAAGGACGGAGAAGAUCUGUGCAACUAGUUCAGAACGGAUCUGUGAAAUCUGCUCAGUUUACUCUUCGGACAGUUCAUUCUCCAGGUAUUUCUUUUAAAUUGAAAAAAGUUGGAAAAACUGAGAAACAAGAUGACGAAAUAUAUGACUUUGACGAAGAAGAAGGAGAGAUUGAAACUGAAAGGACAACAAUCUCUGAUCUUCUGAACGAUAUUGAAUCCAAGUGCCCGAACUACCAACGCCUUCUCCAUGUAUACGUGGAGAAGGGAGAGGAUGCUAUUGUUAAGGAGUUAAUAUAUCAGGAAGAUAUAGAUCUCAAUGGUUUAAACGAUGCACGGUUAACUCCCCUCCAGGUUGCUAUACAGUCUGGGAACUGGAGUACUGCACAUCUUCUCCUCCAGCAUCCAGAUACAAACCCUGUCCUCAAUCGAAGAGAUCCUGAUCAAGCUCCCUUCAAACAGAGUGUGAUGAAGAAUCAAUGGGAGCUGGCUAGAAUUAUUCUAUCCUCCUUGCAGAAUUGUUGCCUAGAUGUUCUAGACCUAGUUCUCUCCUACUCCGGGUUGGGUCAGGGGAAAAAUGAUGAUUGUCAAAACCUUCUCCUAAUCAAGCAAACAAUACACAAAAUAUUCAAACUGGAAGAUGAAGAAAUAUUUAUUGAAACUUUCGAGAAACAUCUAAAAUCUCAGAGAAUUGGAAAAAUGAGUCGGAAAUCAGGGCCGCUUCGAACUCAGUACAUCACUGCUAUGGUGCAAUUAGUGACGAACGGAUACGCAACAGAAUUCAGACGAAUGUUUUUCUCCUUGAACCUUGAUGAUCAGAAGUUCCUAUUCAUCUACAUCUGUAAACAGCUCUCAGACGACAACACUGUCCUGCUAGUACAAGCAAUAGUUCUGGAAGCUGAGAUGUAUGAGAAGCAAUCAAUGCUCCUGGGAAACAAAACUAAACAAUACCAAAUACCAGAGAGAUGCAGUAUAACAAGAGAUAAGCUCCAGCUUCAGCAUAAGAUUCAGGAGAUAUCUGCCCAGGUUAUCAGGAUCAUGAAGCAAACCUACGGAGAAAACGAAGACAGUAUUCUCACCUACCUUGCAUCUACCGGUAAAUCAGAAGCUUUGUCCUAUAUGCUCACCAAGAAUCCAGCAAAAGCUCAGGUUUCUAAACAUGAACUCUACGCAAUGGAAAAUCUAUUUGGUCAGAACCUAUUCGUGAUCCUUCAAACUCAGGGUUCUAGUUUGACCAGGCAGAAGGAGGAAGGUUUAGACCUUAUCAGGGAGAAAUAUGAGGAUAGAAAAGAUGCUCUUAACAAGAUAAAAGCUCUUCUUCCUACUUCCAGUAAGGGUAGAGACACUCUGGAGAGUUUAAUGGGCCGAUAUGAAAUGACUCCGCAGGAAAAAAUUAAAAUUUUUCUCCAAGGUGGAAUUCCCUUUGUCUUCAGCACAACAUUGUGGGCUUUUGAUUUUAGCACUGACAUCAAGGUUUCAGUUGAAACUGCAAGUUGUAUUUUCUUCUAUCCCAGCAACAACACUAUAAAAGGUUUUUCUGAAGAAAAUGAAAUUAACUGUUCCAGAUUUGAGAAGAAUGAUUGGUUGAUAUUAUCCAUCCUCUCCUUUCUCCACAUUUUUAUCCCCUUCAUACUCUUCCUCAUCUUCGACUACCUCAUGGCAAACCAGUUUGAGAAUAUUCCUAUCAAAUCAAGAAAAUCAAUCAAAGUUUUAGGUUUGAUAAUAUCCCCAGUAACCUCCAAGUUUAUGCGAAUGUACCAGUUUAUUCAGUAUAAUCUAUGCCCUAAAGGUCCUGACAGGAAUAAGCAGCAGUCUGAUCUGAUAGCAGUUUCUAAACUAAUGGUAGUGAUAGCUGUUAUAGAAACUAGUCUGGAGGCUAACUAUCAACUUUAUAUUAAUUUUAUCCUUUUCACACCAAACAUUCUCAGGAUUUUGAUGGCUGUUCAUUCUUAUGAUUUUGAUAAGUUCGAUUUACAAAACAGAAGUUUUGCCAUAAUUACCUCCUACGUGUCCCUGGUCUGGGUUAACUCCGCAUUCAAGGUCCACUCUAAGAAAGGUGCCCUGGAUUUUAAAUCUAGUCCUGCUGCCAGGUUAAUCCUAAUCCUGACCUUUGCUACUGAAAUCCUCGCUAGGCUGGUCAUCUUCACAUUUUUCUCAUAUACAGAUCAAAAUCAAAAAGGGAAGGUAGACUGGAGAUGGUCCCUGUAUUUCUUCUAUGGUCACAUUUUCUUCUGUUUCUGCCUAAAUAUCCUUCUUAACGAUUCUUCUAUAGUGAACCACUGGACCCACUGUGGAGAGUUUUAGCGGAAUAUUAAUUAAACUGCACACGUUUGAUUUUACGCUAAGGUGAGGGGGCUCCAGCUAGCUCAGAAGCACUGUAAACACCCCAUCUUCUACAUGGAAGCCCUGAUCAAUGCGUUUAGUAGUAUCUUCACCUACUCCAACUAUACCAUCUA
rnacentral:misc_RNA from 1 species